rnacentral:lncRNA from 1 species
AAUUAUAUACACUACUACUUCUUGAUCUUUUGUACUAUACAAACAUAUGGCUCCAAGAACCUCUCUUGCACUCUUCGUUUCUCUCAACCUCCUCUUCUUCACUUGCACCUCUGCAACCACAGGGACUUGUCCUAUACAGAUCAGUACUUGUGCCAAUGUGCUCAAUCUAGUGGACCUAACAUUGGGAAACCCACCUGUAAAGCCAUGUUGCUCGCUCAUCCAAGGCUUGGCUGACCUUGAGGCUGCGGCCUGCCUCUGCACUGCGCUCAAAGCUAGCAUUCUUGGAAUUGUCAAUAUUAACCUUCCUAUCAAUCUCAGCGUACUCCUCAAUGUUUGUAGUAGGAAUGCUCCAAAGGGUUUCCAGUGCGCGUAAGUUGAAUACCUAUGACAUACCUAUAAAACAAACGAAUCAUACUGAUACUUGAACAUGUUUUCUUAUCUACUUGUUGUUGUUCUAAGGUUUUUUUUUUUCUUGGAUUGUUAAAAAUGAACGUACGUUCUGAUGCAAUAAUGGAAAUGGAGUUGUGUGUAUAAUUGGCAAGUUUAUAUCUACUCCUUCGCUUCGUUGUUCCUUCGUCUCUUCUUUGUAAUUGUGUAUUUCAAAUUUGCUUAAUAAAAAUAUGGGUGAAAGACCUGUGUUCUCCCACAAAUAGAUGGUCUUUCCGCGAAUGUGAAACAAAUGUUUUUUAUCAUUGUUGGUCAACUAAGUAGGUCGUUCGACCCCUACGAAUCCGUAAAUUGAGGAGCAUGCCGCAUAAAGUUUCAUAUAGUACCACAACUACACAAAUUUCAGACCUCGUUCCGAGUUCACACAAAAUAAAAAUUAAAGUUUUGUAUCCCCUAAAUCGAAAGUUCGAGACUUCAGUCCCUUAAAUUCAAAAUUUGUGAUUUAAUAUUGGUUUAAGUCAUAAACCUGAUAAAUCUUUGGCUUUCUUCUUAAUUCGCUGAGGCAAAGUCGAUGAAGACACUGGAUUUCCCUUUUUCUUCUUCUCAGAAUCCUUGUUCAUCAUCUUCAUCUUCAAUUAAAGAUUUGACAGUAGAAGCCAGUUCGUGGAGCCCGAGAGCAUGAUGUUGUUACACAAGAGUAUAUGCCAUAUAUUCUUGGAGGUAUAACCAUAUCCGACAUUGUCAAGUUUAUUCCCAGUACCGUCCCAAGAACUUCCAAAACCCACAUGAACCAAUGUUGAUUGAGAGUCUUUUUAAAUCUCUUGGACAUUUGGCCAGCAACUCCUAAUUUGGACAGUUGGUGCUUCGUCGUUUGGCCAGCCACGGUUUUGAAACCUACUUAGAAGAAGUAGAGAAGAAUAAGCAUGGAUUUUUCAUCAGUUUCUUUAUCUCUAGUUUCCCACAAUGACACUGUUAAUGGAGAUAAAUUAGUACGGAAUACUCGCGUAUAAUAGCCACACUAUAUUUUGUAUGUAUGUAAAUAAUAUUUCUCCAACUUGAUUUCUUGAACCUUUUAAAAUUAAUCAAGUUGUUGACAAAAUAGCUAAUUUUUUUAAAUAUAUGGUACUAAUUAUCACACCCAUAAUAUUUUAGGUCUCGUUUUUUUGAUGCGGAAUUUUUAAUGCAAAUGAUGACUCUUCUCGCAAUUAGUAGUUUUUUGUGUGGGUAAUAUCCAAUAAAACCCUAAGCAUCAUAAGUUGUUUGGUACUAUAGGUUAUGUGAAUAAAUUAUCUUUACAAAUCCCAUAAGUAUCGGGUCAACUUUCAAAAAGUAAAUUAUCUAGCAAAUUCAACUUCGUUUCCACUUGAUGAUUGUUUUUGAUCAUUGACGAUUUAUAUCAUUAUUAUAUGUAUGUAGAUGUAGUCUGAUCGAUAUGAUAUUGUGGUGAUCAUCGUCGCUUGUUACUUAUUCUCCGUUAACCAAACGAUUUCAGAUUUAUGGAAACAUAUAUUUAUACGGUGCCAUGAAAAUGAUUAAUGUUCAUUAAGGAUUAACUUUGCCUUUAUCAACAAGACGGAUGAACACCACAAUAUCAUUACUUGGUUUAAAGUUUAAACAUUGAACCAUAUAUCGUAGUUGUUCAAAAAAAACUAUGUUUAGAAAUACUAUGUUUAUCAAAGUUUAGAAAUACUAUGUUUAUCAAAGAAAAACUAAUUAUAAAAUAAAAGAAAAACUAAUAAAAAACAAUUAACUGAUUCUAUAGUAAAGAAUGAUUUGGCAUGAUGAUUAUCAUACUAUUACAAGCCUGUCGAACGAAUAACUACUAAAUUCUAGAUCUAUCCUCCUAUAGCUUCUGCCCGGGAACCAUAUUUUGGCAUAUGCGACCUUAUUUUAUAAUACGAACAUCGUAAAAAAAAAAAACAAGAAUACACGAUUUGCCUCACACACAAAAAAGAAUCCCACUAAUACACGAAGUUUAUAUGUUAUUGAUUCAGCAAAAGGAUAAAAGGUAGUAUGAUCUUGCACAUACAUCUCCCAUUCAAUAUAAAUCAGAAAAACAUAUUGUACUAAAGAGAAAUAUCGAUGAUGAUUUUGUCGUUAUUACACCUUAGUAUAGAUUUAGAAUAUAUUUGGAUCUAAACCUCACAAUAUAUAUAUUAUUCAUAUUGGAUAUGGCUAUCCUUUCAUAGUUGCAAUUGGCCGCAUAGUAUUCAUAAUUUGUCUUUUCUUUAGGAUGUAAAAUUUGUAUUCAUCCACAAAUCAUUUUCAGAACAAAUGCAUUCUUGUUUUGAAGUUUAAAAAGAGAAACAGAGCUUAAUAGUAAUACAGAAAGUUUUUUAAGUUAGACAAAUUCACUCUAUCAAUUUGACUUUUGAUCUCAAAUUUGUGUUAAAUUUUUUUGGGACAACUCUAACGUUGAAAUCAUACGGCUGAAAUAUCACUCCCAUUUAAAAAUAAUAUUCCAAACUAGUCUAUCUGUCCAUCUUGUAACCCCUGAUAUACGGAAUUAUUUGAUAAGUCCAACCAUUUGAGAUUACAAAAACAAUUAUCACAUGAAAAUGAUAUCAUAACUUUGUCUUCGUGUGAGACUGUGUAGAUUAACUUAUGUUUUAGAAAUAAUUGUUAUAUAAGUCUGCCCCGUGACAAACGGAUUAAUGAAGGAUAAUAAGAUAUGUUCACAUGGCCAACGUGAAAGCAUAAAAAACAAUUAUUUAUUUUUAGAUAUAUUUUAAUUUUAAUUUGAUUUAAAUAUUGUACCUGGUUUUCAAAUAACCACAUCUAAGGCGUUAGCUAGUAAUUUAUGUCAUUGAAAAAAGCCAGAAAGAAACAAAAGAACAUUCUUCAUGUAAUUGGCUUCUGUGAAAAAUGAAUUUAAAAAAAUACUUCUAACAAGUUGAUAAAUAGGUCUGGACAUAAAAAUCGGAACCCGAGUACUCUAAUCGGCGUCAACCUAACAUUUUGAACUGAAUCCCAACCCAAAAAAUUAGAUUUAUCCUACUAAAUCCUAUAUUCCUUAUUUCUUUUACUUAUAAUCCCUAACUUGAACUCCAUCUAAAUCUGAAUCUGAACAUACUCUCAAAAUAAGUACAUACUAAUAACUUUAGACUUGAAUAUCCAAAUUUUUUACUUAAAUACCCGCAAUAUAAGUACAUACACAAAUUUUUAUCCAAAACCUAGAUAUUUACCUAAAUUGUUUUGGGUAUUUGCAUAAUAUUUUGAGUAUUUGUGUACCCAAAAAGAAUCGGGUAUUUAAUAGUUCUAAAAAUUUAUACAUGAUUUUAUCCAAACUCGAAAAAACCAAAACCGAAAUCGAACCAUUUUUAUAUUUACCCUAUUAGAUUUUAUUUUAUUUUUCCUAUUUCGAACACGGAUGGUUCCUACCAGAUUCUGCCCUAAGUUUCUUAAUGUUCAGACCUAUUGAUAAGUAUGAGUUUUAUCAAUGAGCAUCAAGUAAAAGUGAGAGUCUUGAUUCUGCUUUAAAACAUGAAAGUUUUUAUUGUAUAAUAUGGAUAUCGAAGAGGCUAAUUCAGAUAUAUAAAAUUACAUAAUACCUGAUUUAUUAGAGUCCAUAUAAUUUACAUAAGACUUUCCACGACUAAUUUAUAUAGUUAAAAUACUAUAUUUGAUUAUAUUUUUAGUAAUCGUGAAGACUCGUUCAUAUAUUGAUAUACAGUAUAACCUCUAUAAAUUAAUACUCUAUAAAUUAAUAACCUCUAUAAAUUAAUAAAUUAUUCCGGUCCCGAGUUAGGACCAGUGUAAAAAAUGACAUAAAUCGAUAAAUUAAUAAGAUAAUAUUUUUUUUGAAAAUUCUAUGUAAAUCUAUGGUCCUAUCAAUAUCAUAAAUUAAUAAUUGUAUAAAUGUAUCAACUAUAUAUAUAUAUAUAUUAUGUAAAAAAAUUCUUUAUAAUAUAUUUAUUAUACUUUUUUGCUUAAAUUCAUAUUUGUUCUUUGUUUGAUUAUAGUUUUCAUAUUUUACUGUAUCAAAACUUUUAGUGUUGUUUUCUAAACAUUAUUAUUAUGUUUUACUUGUAACUGGUUCUAGAAAUAUAUAUUCUAUAAUGAAGGAAAUCUUAUAGAAAUUUUUAAAAUGUUACCAAAUUAGGAAAAUCUCUCUAUAAAUUGAUAAAUAUUAAUUUAUCGAUAAAUUAAUACCUCUCUAAAUUAAUAAAAUUUCGCAGUCCCAACAUUACUAAUUUAUAGAGGUUUUACUGUAAUUCGUAAAUUUUGAGAGUAGUUUUUAACCAACUUACACCACCAAUUUAUUAGAGUACAUAUUUUGAUUUUCGAUAUGCAAUCUUGUUACCAACUAAGUUGUUAAUUAGGACCAUAUACUCUUAGAAAUUGCCAGCUAAUUUGAACAAUGACCAUUUAAGUGUUUUCAAAUAAUCAAAUCAUAUCCAUAUAAAAAUAAUUAGUCAACUAAUCCCCUAUUAAGAAAAAUCAACAAUUAAAACAUUCUCAUUUCCUCCUAAUGAAUACCCUAUAAAUACCCACUAAAAACUUACAUUUCUCCCACCAAUCUCAAAGCAAAUUAAAUACACUACUACUUCUUGAGCUUUUAAACUACACAAACAAAUGGCUCCAAGAACCCCCCUUGCACUCUUCGUUUCUCUCAACCUCCUCUUCUUCACUUACACCUCUGCAACCACAGGGACUUGUCCUAAAAAUUCCAUAGAGAUCGGUACUUGUGUCACUGUGCUCAAUCUAGUGGACCUAACAUUGGGAAACCCACCUGUAAAGCCAUGUUGCUCGCUCAUCCAAGGCUUGGCUGACCUUGAGGCCGCGGUCUGCCUUUGCACUGCAGUCAAGGCUAGCAUUCUUGGAAUUGUCAAUAUUAACCUUCCUAUCAAUCUCAGCGUACUCCUCAAUGUUUGUAGUAGGAAUGCUCCAAAGAGUUUCCAGUGCGCGUAAGUUGAAUACCUAUGACAUACCUAUGAAACAAACGAAUCAUACCGAUGCUUGAACAUGUUUUCUUACCUACUUGUUGUUGUUCUAAGAUGUUUGUUUUUUCUUUCUUUCUUGGAUUGUUAAUAAUGAACGUACGACGUUCUGAUGCAAAAUAAUG